rnacentral:lncRNA from 1 species
UUACUCAGGUUUGAGGGUAUUGAUGAAUCAUUGAAUCCUAUCCCUUGCUCUUCUAAGAAACUGGUGGACUUGGGAUUCAAAUUUAAAUACAACUCAGAGGAGUGCCAUGUGGGGGGUUUGUUCACUGAAGCUAUUGAAUCAUGCAGAGAAAAGAGGUUGAUGCCACUAUAGAGUGCAGGGGCAGGGCAGGCCAGAAAGGCAUAUCAAAAGUGACUCGUUGAUGAGUUUGAUUGUGCAAUCGCUAAUUCAAGACCUAAGAUAUCAUUCACAAACCGCCCACUUUUGUAUCACUGUUUCCAGCAGUCAGCAAAUGCAUAUAAUAGGAAAAUGUUAACUAUUACCGAUGAGUGGUGGUUAAUAAGCAAAAAAAUGUAUUGGCAAGUGUGAAAAAUAUAUAAAUACCUGUAAGGAUGCAUUGAAACAUUUAAGAAAUGUAUAAAAUAUCCAGGAAAGCGUGCAUCUAAAAACCCAUGUGUGUUGGGUUAGAAGAACUGCAUAUAAUAUAUGCCUCAGCCGGCAACGCCAUACGGCCCGUGUGGCUGGCGGAUAUGAGGAUGGAGAUAAGUUUAAAGGGGAUAAAAAGUGUAGAGAGGGAUAACUUUGGAGGGGAAUAACUUUUUAAUUUAGUUUGGAGACUUUUUAGAAUGGGUGGACAGGGUGGGGAUAAGGAAGAAAAAAUAUAGAGAGAAACAAAAUAUAAAAUAUUAGAUAUUAAAAAAAUAUAUUUGGGUCUAUAUAUCUAUAUAUAAAUAAAAAAUAUACAUUUUGUUUUCUUUAUAUAUUUUUUUAAUAUCCCUCACCCCCUUAUCCCCCCGGAUAACUUUUAGUUAGGGUCUAGGUCCACCCCCAAAAAGUAUCCGGCUUUAUCCACCUGCUGGGGGAAAAAAUAAUCCGGGGGCAUGAAAUUAUCCACCUCCUUAUCCGCCAGCCAACGACGUGGGGAAAAAAAUUAUCCGGGGGAAAAGUAUUUCACCCCACCGAUCCACCAGCAAAUGGCCCCUUACAUCCUAAUUAUAUUUUAUUUAGUGAUUGAGACCCAUGCAGUGGCAAAGGUUGUAUAAAAAUGAUGCUCAUUAGAUUUGCUAAUUGCUAUUUUGUAUCCAGAAAAACAGAUCAUAUUCUCUCUCCCUGAGUAGAAAGGCAUGGAAGGAGAGCAUGGAGGAACUACCGUGUGUGUGACAGGAGCAUCGGGGUUCAUCGGAUCGUGGCUUGUGAUGAGGCUUCUUGAGCGAGGCUAUUACAUUAGAGCAACUGUCCGCGAUCCUGGUCUUUGCUUCUCUCACCUCCUUAAUUUCCCUGUUCAUUUCUCAAUCAAUUUCAAUUAAUUCAAUGGUUCUAUAAACUACCUAUUAAUUUGUUGUGUGCAGCUAACAUGAGCAAGGUGAAGCAUCUCUUAGACUUGCCCAACGCCGGCACAUACCUGAGCUUGUGGAAGGCUGAUCUGACUGAAGAAGGAAGCUUUGAUGAUGCAAUUCAUGGAUGUGCUGGUGUCUUCCAUGUUGCCACUCCUAUGGAAUUUAUUUCUGUCAUGGAUCCAGAGGUACGAAUCGUUUCAAAUACAUAUAUUUAAAAGAUUCCAUUGAAAUUGUUUGUUUGAAAAGUUCCAUAGGUUACUCUCUCGACUGGAAAUAUAUAUGUCCUUGUUUAGUAGCACAAUGAUUUUAGUCAGGAAACUGUUAUUAUCAAGGUAAAAAAAUAUAAAAGUUUAUAGAGAACUAAUUUGUGUCACCACUUUCUUAUAGAUAUUUAUGAUUAAUUGCUUGAUUGGAAACAAUGAAUAGAAAAUAGUGAAUGAAAUUAUCAUGAAUUGUACCAUGUGUUAGUACAUUGAAUUGAAAUUGGAUUGACUUGGAUAAUUUGUUUUGAAAAUAAUCCGUCCAUUUUAUUGAAAAUUAAUGCAAUAAAUAAUGUGGCUAAGAGUAUCGGACAGGUCCCAUUUUUCAUGACUAAUUAAUACAGAGAGUCUAAAAAAUUAACAAAUCAUUUCAUUGAAUGGGGCUUGUGGCAGGCCAAUGUACCACGACUAGACAGUUCCAUAGUGCUUGCUUGUAUGUUGUGUGCAGUUUCCGGAUACAAUUCCAAGACAUGAAGUUUCCAUAGUAGAUCUAUGCCACCGCAAGGACUCACUAACUGUGAAAGAAAUGUGUCGAGAGUUGUGUUCAGAAAAUGUGCAGAUUGCUUUAAUAUAUGUGGUUCAUUGUUGUGCCUAAUAUUGAUCAUGACAAGCAUUUAUUUGUUGAGAAUGAAUCGUGUUGGUGGGCAGAGUGAAGUGAUUAAACCAACAGUGAAUGGGGCUUUAAACAUUAUGAGGUCAUGCUCCAAGGCCAAAACCGUCAAGAGGGUCAUCUACACUUCAACCACAGGAACCAUUGUCAUCCAACAACACCCCCAAUCUGAAUAUGAUGAGAGUUUCUGGACUGAUGUAGACUUCUGCAAGGCUCAAAAAAUGACUGGAUGGGUAAGUAUACACACGUGUGGGCGUGCGCGCGCGCACACGCAUUUAUUGUGUUACCUAAAUUUUCAAACCGUUAUCUAUUGAAUUGUUAGAGGAGUUACUUUAUUAUUUAUAUUCUUAACAUAUUCAACGAUUUUCACGUUCAAUUUUGUGUUUUGAGAUCAACAAAUUGACAGAAUGAUCAUAUCAAGGGAGAAAUUAAGCGAUGAGCUGGCAUUCAUUUUUUUUUCUUUUUUAGAUGUACUUUGUGGCGAAAACAAUGGCCGAGAAAGCUGCGUGGGAAUUUGCUAAAGAGAAUGAUCUUGAUCUCGUCACCAUUCAACCAUCUAUUGUGUUAGGGCCGUUUAUCACGCCUUCAAGGCCCACAAGCAUUGAAAUAUCCAUUGCCUUAAUCACUAGUACGUACAAUUCCAACCCUAGCAUGAGUUAUCAUCCAUUUUUUCCAAGUUGUACAAUUCCAACCCUAGCUUUGGAAAUUCACACUUAACCAAUGAUUUAUGAUAUGAAGGAAAUGAAGCUUUUUAUCCUAUGCUUACCCAAGCUCGUGCGGUGCACUUGGAUGAUUUAUGUAACGCUCACAUUUACCUGCUCGAGUAUCCACAAGCCAGUGGAAGAUACAUAUGUUCGUCUCACUGUUUCACCAUAUUUGAUAUCGCGAAAUGGCUGAGCCAAAAAUACCCAGAGUGCGAUAUACCAACCAAGUACGGUGAAAUUAAGGAAAGACGAUACUAAUAACUUUGAUAAUUACUUAGAAACACAACCUCUAACUUCUUUUUUCUGAUUUUUUGUUUAGUUGAGGGUGUGUGAUGAAUCAUGCCCUAUCCCCUUGCCUCGACAGAAACUGGUGGACUUGGGAUUCAAAUUUAAAUACAACUCAGAUGAGUGCCAUGUGGGGGUUUUGUUCACUGAAGCUAUUGAAUCAUGCAGACAAAAGGGGUUGAUGCCAUUAUAGGGGUUGAUGCCAUUAUAGAGUCCAGGCGCAGGCAAGGACAGGAAGCUAAUCGCAAGGGCUUGAAAUAAAGAAAGGAAAAAAAUGCAAAUUAGGGAAAAUCGAUAGUAUGUGUGUAUCAUAAAAUGUUACGAUCGAUUAUAGUGAAUGUUACAAGAGUGUGCAUAAUAAAAAUAAUUAUGAAUAUUUUUACGUAUCAUUUUAGUAAAUGUUAGUUGCAACCUCUUGCGGUAACAAACAGUUGUGUUUUUGUUUUUGGAUUACAAUGUAUUGUGAUGAAUGAAUAUUUUAUCUGAAUGCAUCAUAAAAACUAUUUUCUGGAAUAUGC